CUACGGGAUGCUCCAGUGAGGAAUAUUGCACAAUGGGGGGAACCCUGAUGCAGCAACGCCGCGUGGAGGAUGACGCAUUUCGGUGUGUAAACUCCUUUUAUAUGUCAAGAAAAUGACGGUAGCAUAUGAAUAAGCGCCGGCUAACUCCGUGCCAGCAGCCGCGGUAAUACGGAGGGCGCAAGCGUUACUCAGAAUCACUGGGCGUAAAGGACGCGUAGGCGGGUUGAAAAGUCAGGUGUGAAAGCCUACAGCUUAACUGUAGAACUGCACUUGAAACUCUCAACCUAGAGUAUGGGAGGGGCAGAUGGAAUUAGUGGUGUAGGGGUAAAAUCCGUAGAUAUCACUAGGAAUACCUAAAGCGAAGGCGAUCUGCUGGAACAUUACUGACGCUAAGGCGUGAAAGCGUGGGGAGCAAACAGGAUUAGAUACCCGCGUAGUC
rnacentral:rRNA from 1 species